rnacentral:rRNA from 1 species
GGACUACACGGGUAUCUAAUCCCGUUCGAUUCCCACGCUUUCGUGUUUCAGCGUCAGGAGUGCGCCAGUAGAGUGCCUUCGCAUUUGGUGUUCCCCAAGAUAUCAACGGAUUUCACCCCUACACCUUGAGUUCCCUCUACCUCUCGCGUCCUCGAGCAUUGCCGUUUCUCCCGCGUCUCCUGGGUUAAGCCCUGGAUCUUUCACGAAAGACUAACAACGCCGCCUACACACCCUUUACGCCCAGUGAUUCCGGAUAAUGCUUGGAGCCUCUGUAUUACCGCGGCUGCUGGCAC